GUGUAUUAGAUACCCGAGUAGUCCACGCCGUAAACGUUGGGCACUAGGUGUGGGGUUCUAUCGACGGAUUCCGUGCCGUAGCUAACGCAUUAAGUGCCCCGCCUGGGGAGUACGGCCGCAAGGCUAAAACUCAAAGGACUUGACGGGGGCCCGCACAAGCGGCGGAGCAUGUUGCUUAAUUCGAUGCAACGCGAAGAACCUUACCUGGGUUUGACAUGUAGGGAAAAGCCGUAGAGAUACGGUGUCCUUCGGGGUCCUACACAGGUGGUGCAUGGCCGUCGUCAACU
rnacentral:rRNA from 1 species